UAACCUUGCGGUCGUACUCCCCAGGCGGUGUGUUUAUCGGUUUCCCUGCGACACUGAAAAUAAAUUUCCAACGUCUAACACACAUCGUUUACGGCAUGGACUACGAGGGUAUCUAAUCCUCUUCGCUACCCAUGCUUUCGUUCCUCAGUGUCAGUAAUGAUCCAGAAAGCUGCCUUCGCAAUUGGUAUUCUUUCUAAUAUCUACGAAUUUCACCUCUACACUAGAAAUUCUGCUUUCCUCUAUCAUACUCUAGCUGAAAAGUUUUGAUGGCAGUUCCAGAGUUAAGCUCUGGGAUUUCACCACCAACUUUUUCAACCACCUACGAACUCUUUAAGCCCAGUAAUUCCGAACUACGCUAGGUCCCUUCGUAUUACCGCGGCUGCUGGCACGAAGUUAGCCGGACCUUCUUAUUCGGGUACAGUCAUUUUCUUCCCCGACGAAAGAGCUUUACAACCCAAAGGCCUUCUUCACUCACGCGGCAUCGCUGCAUCAGAGUUUCCUCCAUUGUGCAAGAUUCCCCACUGCUGCCUCCCGUAGGAGUUUGGGCCGUGUCUCAGUCCCAAUGUGGCUGAUCAUCCUCUCAAAUCAGCUAUUGAUCAUAGUCUUGGUAGGCCAUUACCCUACCAACAAACUAAUCAAGUGCGGGCUCAUCCAAUGGUGCAUAAAGCUUUCUCCGUAAAGACUUAUCCGGUAUUAGCACAAGUUUCCUCGUGUUAUUCCAGGCCAAAGGGUAGAUACCCACAUGUUACUCACCCGUCUGCCACUAAGUAUUGCUACUUCGUUCGACUUGCAUGUGUUAGGCGUGCCGCCAGCGUACGUUCUGAGCCAGGAUCAAACUCU
rnacentral:rRNA from 1 species